UUUAUCGGAGAGUUUGAUCCUGGCUCAGGACGAACGCUGGCGGCGUGCCUAAUACAUGCAAGUCGAGCGGACAGAUGGGAGCUUGCUCCCUGAUGUUAGCGGCGGACGGGUGAGUAACACGUGGGUAACCUGCCUGUAAGACUGGGAUAACUCCGGGAAACCGGGGCUAAUAC
rnacentral:rRNA from 2 species